GUGGGGAAUAUUGGACAAUGGGCGAAAGCCUGAUCCAGCCAUGCCGCGUGUGUGAAGAAGGUCUUCGGAUUGUAAAGCACUUUAAGUUGGGAGGAAGGGCAUUAACCUAAUACGUUAGUGUUUUGACGUUACCGACAGAAUAAGCACCGGCUAACUUCGUGCCAGCAGCCGCGGUAAUACGAAGGGUGCACGCGUUAAUCGGAAUUACUGGGCGUAAAGCGCGCGUAGGUGGUUCGUUAAGUUGGAUGUGAACGCCCCGGGCUCAACCUGGGAACUGCAUCCAAAACUGGCGAGCUAGAGUACGGUAGAGGGUGGUGGAAUUUCCUGUGUAGCGGUGAAAUGCGUAGAUAUAGGAAGGAACACCAGUGGCGAAGGCGACCACCUGGACUGAUACUGACACUGAGGUGCGAAAGCGUGGGGAGCAAACAGGAUUAGAAACCCCAGUAGUCC
rnacentral:rRNA from 1 species